GAAAUGCGAUAAGUAAUGUGAAUUGCAGAAUUCAGUGAAUCAUCGAAUCUUUGAACGCACAUUGCGCCCGCCAGUAUUCUGGCGGGCAUGCCUGUCCGAGCGUCAUUUCAACCAUCAAGCCCCCGGGCUUGUGUUGGGGACCUGCGGCUGCCCGCAGGCCCUGAAAACCAGUGGCGGGCUCGCUGUCACACCGAGCGUAGUAGCAAUCACCUCGCUCAGGGCGUGCUGCGGGUUCCGGCCGUUAACCAGCCUUACAAAACCCAAGGUUGACCUCGGAUCAGGUAGGAAGACCCGCUGAACUUAAGC
rnacentral:misc_RNA from 1 species